GGGUUCAGGGUUUGGGUUUUUGAGGUUUUUGGGGUUUUUGGGUUCGUGUCCCACCCACCUCGGGCCCGAAGCGGCGCUGGGCGAAGCUGUGAGCGCUCUCGUCCGGCCCCGUCCCCGGCGGCGUCAGCAGGUCCCGAACCCCGCUCCAGAGCAGGGCCCGGGAAAAGGGGGGGACAGCCCUGAGCAGACCCCUGGGGACAGCAGGGACAUUGGGGACAUUGGGGACAGCAGGUCCCGAACCCCGCUCCAGAGCAGGGCAUGGGAGAACGGGGGGACAGCCCUGAACAGAGCCCUG